AACGAACGCUGGCGGCAGGCUUAACACAUGCAAGUCGAACGGGUGUAGCAAUACAUCAGUGGCAGACGGGUGAGUAACACGUGGGAACCUUCCUAGGGGUACGGAGCAACUCAGGGAAACUUGAGCUAAUACCGUAUACGUCCGUGAGGAGAAAGAUUUAUCGCCCUUAGACGGGCCCGCGUCGGAUUAGCUAGUGGGUGGGGUAACGGCCUACGAAGGCGACGAUCCGUAGCUGAUCUUAGAGGAUGAUCAGCGACACUGGGACUGAGACACGGCCCAGACUCCUACGGGAGGCAGAAGUGGGGAAUCUUGGACAAUGGGCGCAAGCCUGAUCCAGCCAUGCCGCGUGAGUGAAGAAGGUCUUCGGAUUGUAAAGCUCUUUUGCCAGGGACGAUAAUGACGGUACCUGGAGAAUAAGCCCCGGCAAACUUCGUGCCAGCCGCCGCGGUAA
rnacentral:rRNA from 1 species